rnacentral:rRNA from 1 species
GACGAACGCUGGCGGCGUGCUUAACACAUGCAAGUCGAACGGAAAGGCCCUGCUUUUGUGGGGUGCUCGAGUGGCGAACGGGUGAGUAACACGUGAGUAACCUGCCCUUGACUUUGGGAUAACUUCAGGAAACUGGGGCUAAUACCGGAUAGGAGCUCCUGCUGCAUGGUGGGGGUUGGAAAGUUUCGGCGGUUGGGGUUGGACUCGCGGCUUAUCAGCUUGUUGGUGGGGUAGUGGCUUACCAAGGCUUUGACGGGUAGCCGGCCUGAGAGGGUGACCGGCCACAUUGGGACUGAGAUACGGCCCAGACUCCUACGGGAGGCAGCAGUGGGAAAUAUUGCACAAUGGGCGGAAGCCUGAUGCAGCAACGCCGCGUGCGGGAUGACGGCCUUCGGGUUGUAAACCGCUUUCGCCUGUGACGAAGCGUGUGUGACGGUAAUGGGUAAAGAAGCACCGGCUAACUACGUG